GAGGGGUCAACUGUUGCCUUCUCUUUAUACACAGAUGAUGAGAUGUCAUUCAAUGAUUCUUUCUUCAUUAAUGAUGUUGUGCCUUCAGUCCAGCAAACCAAGAAAGGAAUCAGUGUGUUCCUGUCCUCACUUUACGUUGUUGUAAGCAGUGUUGAUAUUAUAUUGUUUCCAUGCUCCUGCUAUCAUGACCGUCUUUACUUUAGUAUCGAUUGCCCUGUUCAGACCUGGUGUUAACGUCCAUCCUGGGGGAUCACAAGUCACAUCUCUUAGUACGUGUAUCCACACCUGACAUUCAAAUAGAUCCUGAAUGGGUCUCCUUUGACCGCUUGGGAUCGGAACUGGCAAAUAUAUAAUUUGUGUCACGAAGAGCAAAUUCUUUAGUUUUAACCCGGUCUGAGUUUACAGAUGUGCCUGUAUGUCAAUAAAUGUGUACAAACAGCAAAAAAGGACCAGUCGCAAAACCACCUCCAAAUGUGGACUAAGCGACCAGAUUUUGGGACUCAUUCAGGAUGUGUGAGUUCAGACCUGUAUCACUAACACCCUAAAGAUGGAUGUUGAUAAUCUUAUUUUGGUACACAGACACACACACCUCCUUCUACAACAAAGUGGAGGCUAUUGGCUGACCCUGAAUAGUCCAUAAAAAACAGCUGAUAAUCAAAUCAGGAGGUUGCUCUAGAUUUGGCACGUUGCCUUUGUCCUAAAUUAAUUCAAACUAAUCUGAAAGGUUGGCUUAUCUAACAAUACUGAUGGUUCAUUUUGUAGGUUCCUUCUCCAAUGUUCUUCACACUGAUUUUAAGUGCAUCUGUUUUUUAACUUUUAGAAAAGGUAUCAUCCAACAAUACAAAAUAAAUUGAUUGGCUACAUCCGGAGACUGACUGGAUGUAACCCUCUUGCCCAAAGUUUGCAUCAGCUACUCAGCAGGAAUGAAAGGAUGACAAGGAAUCAAAAGAUUUCAAUAGUUGAAGGCUUGUACGUGCUCUUCAGAGAGCUUUUGCCCCAACUUGGCUUGGAACGAGGGGAGAAAGUCAUCAAGGACGUGCAUGUCUUUGAGAAUUCAUUGUUCUGCUGGGCACAUCUCAUCUCAAGAUCACAGCAACAAAUAUCAGACUUUGAGAACUACGCAGAAGUCUCGCUCACAUCUCAAGACAACAAACGUUUCCGUGAACCAGUGAGAGUGCCUGGAGUGCCAGUUGCCUUUGAACGAGCAUUCAUUCUCCAGAAAAUCAAAGAUGGGGUGAAAAUCCCAAACUGCACAGAAGAGAUUUUGCGAGAGACCUCAUUACAGAGAGCCACUGACAUUGAGAAAAUCCUGCUCAGCUUGCCUCCCCUCAUCAAGACCUAUCAUCUCUGGAUUAGUAAUGAAAAGAUAACCGGUCAGAACUUUCAGGUCCAUGAACAGUUGACUUUUGGAGAAAUGGUUGAAAGAUUGAAGUCUUUCCCUCAUCUCAAUGUGACCCCACCCCUACAUCUGAAGAAGCUUGGAGAGAAUAAGGUCUGCCUUGUUCUGCUGAGUGAAGAUAACCUUGGUGUUUAUCUUUAUAAAAGCAAAGGAUCCACAGAUAUGAUCAUGGUGCACAACUGUCUGGAUGGCAAGAGCAUUGAAGUGGAUGUGAAUGUACUGGCGGCCAACACUGGUGACCAUAGAGAAGAUGGAUCAUUUGUCACAACUAGGACUCCAAAUGAAGCCAUACUGGUCCUAAUAGAUACAAGCUCAUCCAUGGAAGAGGAGUGCUAUGGAAAUGCAGGGAUAAAGAAAAUGAAUGCUGUGAAGGAGCUCUUCGACAACUUUGCAUCAAGAAGCAUGGCUUAUGAUUUCCAUCAUGUCAUUGGUCUCGUGAGUUUUGACUCAAUGGUGAAAACUCUGAAAACCUGGAAAAGUUCAAGGAGUUCAUCCGUGUCCUUCAACCGAAUGGAUGCACUCUGCUGUAUGAUGCCCUACGACGCGGCUUGUCCGAGCUGGAAAAGGUCAAGACAAAGUUUCCAAAAUGUCGACUUCGCAUCAUCUGCCUCACUGAUGGAAAUGAUUCUGGAUCCUCGAUGGAUCCAGUUGCCAUUACAGCCAAGCUGUUAAAAUCUGACAUCGUUGUGGAUUCAAUCCUUCUUGGAAAUGUGGAGAACAAUAUGCUCCAUGGAAUCAGCAAUGCAACAGGCGGCUGCUGUUUCAAACCACAGACAACCAAAGAGGGUUUGAAGCUCUUCGAGAUCGAGACAGUCCUGUCUUUGGAUCAGAGGAAACCAAAGAAAAAACUUGAUGCGUCGUCUGUCAGUGAG